AUUCACCUCAUAGCUGGUUGGUGAAUAGCUUACAGCUCUUUAACAAAUACUUUUUGGGAAAAAUACUUCUGGAACCAAGGUGGCUAAGAAGUGGGUGAGUGGUAUUGCCAUCUCACCCCAACUUCCUGUUUCACAUAGAUCCACCUCUGGGGGCGAGUCUUUUCCCAGGUCUUUGUUGACGGGGGUCAAUAUGUGGGCCAUCGCUGUACCCUGAGAUUAAACGGAAAGUGAAAUGCUUUGAAGAAAAGGGCCAAAGGAUUUCACUUUUCCAUGCUUCUUUCACUUGAAGUUUGCCAGCGUUCUUCUGAGGGAAGCAACGUCGAGGUGAAAAAGCAAGUAUUCUUCAAUGAAUCCAUCCCUGAAUUCUGACAGUGCGACACGAAGUGUCCGACACCUUCAGUGAGAGAGAGGGAGAGAUGGUGUUUGCGUGUGUCAAGCGCUCAAAAAAACUAUUUAUUUCUCUGCCCAAAUGUUUACCCAGACAAUAAACAAUAGAAAAACAACUACGUGACUUGUCCUAGUGUUCGAGGAAAGAAAGGAUGCACUUGAAAAUAAUUAAUGCAGGAAAAAAUAGCGUUUUAAAAUACAUCUGAAUAAAAUAAAUGCACGUUUGUAGCUGAGGCGAGUUUGCCUCAAACUUUUAAUAUAAAUUGUAAUAGUUUAGAAAUCUACAACAUAUUG